UACGUAGGCAGCGAGCGUUGUUCGGAGUUACUGGGCGUAAAGAGUGCGUAGGCGGUUUUCUAAGUUUGGUGUGAAAUCUCCCGGCUCAACUGGGAGGUGCGCCGAAGACUGGAAGGCUAGAGUAUGGGAGAGGUAAGCGGAAUUCCUGGUGUAGCGGUGAAAUGCGUAGAUAUCAGGAGGAACACCGGUGGCGAAGGCGGGUCUCUGGGCCGAUACUGACGCUGAGGAGCGAAAGCGUGGGGGAGCGAACAGG
rnacentral:rRNA from 1 species